rnacentral:rRNA from 1 species
UAAUGCCUGGGAAUAUGCCUUGAUGUGGGGGAUAACUAUUGGAAACGAUAGCUAAUACCGCAUAAUGCCUACGGGCCAAAGAGGGGGAUCUUCGGACCUCUCGCGUCAAGAUUAGCCCAGGUGGGAUUAGCUAGUUGGUGGGGUAAAGGCUCACCAAGGCGACGAUCCCUAGCUGGUCUGAGAGGAUGAUCAGCCACACUGGAACUGAGACACGGUCCAGACUCCUACGGGAGGCAGCAGUGGGGAAUAUUGCACAAUGGGGGAAACCCUGAUGCAGCCAUGCCGCGUGUAUGAAGAAGGCCUUCGGGUUGUAAAGUACUUUCAGCAGUGAGGAAGGUGGUAGUGUUAAUAGCACUAUCAUUUGACGUUAGCUGCAGAAGAAGCACCGGCUAACUCCGUGCCAGCAGCCGCGGUAAUACGGAGGGUGCGAGCGUUAAUCGGAAUUACUGGGCGUAAAGCGCAUGCAGGCGGUCUGUUAAGCAAGAUGUGAAAGCCCGGGG